UGCGCAGGUGGGGAUGUAAGUCAGUGGUGAAAUGUUGCCGCUCAACGGUAAAAUUGCCAUUGAUACUGCAUCUCUUGAGUAUGGUUGAGGUAGGCGGAAUGUGUUGUGUAGCGGUGAAAUGCAUAGAUAUGACACAGAACACCGAUUGCGAAGGCAGCUUACUAAGCCAUUACUGACGCUGAGGCACGAAAGCGUGGGUAGCGAACAGGAUUAGAUACCCUGGUAGUCC
rnacentral:rRNA from 1 species